CAGUGAUUGGUUCAAGUAGUGGACAUGUGACCCAACACAGGCCAAUCAGAGCCCUUCCAUGGUCUGAAGUGGAUAGGAAGGGGGUCCUCUUUCCUCUAAGGAUGGUAAGCUGAGAUGAUAGAAACUUAGAGUUUCCUGUGACCUUGUCCCACUGCCAUGUGACCCACUGUGCCAUGGAAAAGAAGUACCCAUUGGAGGGGAGAAUAUGAUCGACAGAGAAGCUGCAAUUAGAGAUGGAGAAAACGAGCCCUCAUCUCAUGCGUGGGCUGCUGAAACCAGUUCUAUACCUGUCAUUUCCAGAGAUGGGGUUUCAGCACAUUAGCCAGUAUCGUCUCGAUCUCUUCACCUCGUGAUCCGCCCGCCUCGGCCUCCCCAGCUGCUGGGAUUACAGGCGUGAGCCACUGCGUUUUGCCAGUUCUCUUCCUUUAUUAAAACUACAUCAGAUGGUCUCCAUCAAUGACACUCACCUGCUGGUGCCUCCUAUUGGCCAAAGCCAACAGGAAGUGGGCACUGAGCAGUGCAGAGGACAACAAAAGGAAUAAUCAACACAGGCCCUAAACUAAUCUUUACGAUGGCUUUCAAAGAAGUCCCAGAGAAAUUGUAUAUGCCUUUGGAAAUUGACGUAUGAGCACAAAUAUCACAGUCAUGGACCCAUUACAACAUCCUCACCAAUGUCACUAACCUACAGGAAAUUUUCCUUUAUAUUACAAAUGAGAGUAAACUGGAAAGCUAGGAACAGAAGUGGAGUUGGGGACCAGCCUGUUUCCUACUUUGUGAUAUGCUGUUUAUCCUGAGAAAUUGACAAACAUCCAACUUCAGCCUCAGAUUGAGAAACUUUUAGAGUGGCCAUUCCUCCUGAAUUUUCAACUCACAUCCACCUAAUUGCUGCUCAUCUUCCCAGGGUCUGUCCAGUCAGGAACAGUUUCAGAAUGUGGCUUUUUCAUCCAAGCUGCUUCCACAAUUCUAGGGCCCUUUUUCCUCUUCAGAAGAUUGACAACUGGACAUCUAUUGCCCAUUUGAAAAGAACCUACCUACAAUGGCCUUUGACCAAGCAGGCCUGCAUUCGGAACUAAAUAGUCAACGAAAGGGCACAUUUUCCAACCUCAGCCCAGCUAGCUAAGAGUUUCCCAUGAUACCUUGAAGAGCAUCACUUUGCCACAGCCUCUACCCUUCUCUGUAUCUAUGGGCUAGCCUGGGUUGAAACUACUAAAAUAAAAGACAAAGGAAUGCUUCCUCAUUAUUUCCA